AAUUAAUAACUAUAUACAGGUGCAAACUGCUUAAUAGGGAAGCGGGUGCGAAUCCCGGAACUGUCCCAGCAACCGUAAAGCUGACGAAAUGACGUUGAACCACUGCUUUAAAGGAUUAUGUGUUCCAAGCGGGAAGGUGUCAAAGUAGGAAGAAGCUAAGUCGGUAGACCUGCCUGUAUGAAAACUCCUGG
rfam:Gracilibacter sp. BRH_c7a BRHa_1001716, whole genome shotgun sequence.